rnacentral:rRNA from 1 species
UACGUAGGUGGCGAGCGUUGUCCGGAUUUACUGGGCGUAAAGGGCGUGCAGGCGGUUUGUUAAGUGCAGGGUGAAAGCUCCCGGCUCAACUGGGAGAGGUCCUUGCAUACUGGCGAACUCGAGGGAGGCAGAGGAAAGUGGAAUUCCCGAUGUAGUGGUGAUAUGCGUAGAUAUCGGGAGGAACACCUGUGGCGAAGGCGGCUUUCUGGGCCUUACCUGACGCUGAGACGCGAAAGCGUGGGGAGCGAACCGG